UAAUUUCAAAAGAUAUUGUCAAAUUAUACUCCAAAACUAUUAUAACUAUUUUACAUUCCCACCAACAUGACAAAAGAAGGGUGUUUAGCACUUUCCCAUAAUAGUCAUUUCGGUAUAUGUCUUGUUUCUGCAAUCAGUCAGAAAAUGCAUAAUGGCCUCCAGCUCCAUCCAUGCCCCUUCAAAGGACAUGAUCUCAGUCUUGUUUAUGGGUGCAUAAUAUUCCAUGGUAUAUGUGUACAACAUUUUCUUU
rnacentral:lncRNA from 1 species